GACGAACGCUGGCGGCGUGCUUAACACAUGCAAGUCGAACGAUGAAGCCCAGCUUGCUGGGUGGAUUAGGGGCGAACGGGUGAGUAACACGUGAGUAACCUGCACUUAACCCUGGGAUAAGCCUGGAAAACUGGGGCUAAUACCGGAUAGGAGCGUUCACGGCACGGUGGGUGUUGGAGAGAUUUAUCGUUUUUGGUUGGGCGCGGGGCCUAUCAGCUUGUGGGGGAGGUAUUGGCUGACCACGGCGACGACGGGUAUGCGGCCUGAGAGGGGGGCCGGCACCGCUGGGACGGGGACACGGCCCAGACGCGACCGGGAGGGAACAGAGGGGAAUAUUGUACAGUGGGCGAAAGCAGGAUGCAGCGCCGCCGCGUGGGGGGUGACGGCCUUCGGGUAGUAAACCACUUUCCGUUGGGAAGAAGCGAAAGUGACGGUACCUGCAGAAGAAGCACCGGCUAACUACGUG
rnacentral:rRNA from 1 species